CCCGUGUGUGCCCGGGAGGUGACGCUGCCGCUCAGCGCUGUCCCCGCAGCGCUCGGCCCGCUGGCGGCAGCUCCGCUGUGCCCGGAGGCGGAACUCGAGCCCCGACCGCCCGCUCCCACCGCCUCCGGCAGGCGGCGCUCUCGCCCAGGCCGUGAGGGGAGCGCUCCGGGGCUGUGAGCUACCAUGACAGCAGCACACACAACAGCCAGCCUGCUGCUCCAGAGGGAAUGACAGCUUCCGAGCCAUCCAGCAGGGACUGAGGAUUCCUCCUGCAUGCAGAGACAGUCCUGCUACUGGGAAGAUGAUGAGCUGAACCUCAAGUCAAAAUUAAAGAGCUCAGGUAUCUACUAGUCUUCUUGAAUACUGACAGGAUUUUGAGCAGGGAUAGGGAGAAGGAAGAGAGACUAGAGUACAUUCCUGAGAACAAAUUCCA
rnacentral:lncRNA from 1 species